rnacentral:rRNA from 1 species
UACGUAGGGGGCGAGCGUUGUCCGGAGUUACUGGGCGUAAAGCGCUUGUAGGCGGUCCACCAAGUUUGGGGUGACAGUUGCCGACUUAAUCGGCAAAGUGCCUCAAAGACUGGCGGACUUGAGGGCCACAGAGGGACAUGGAACUCCAGGUGUAGUGGUGAAAUGCGUAGAUAUCUGGAAGAACACCAAAGGCGAAGGCAGUGUCCUGGGUGGUCGCUGACGCUGAGACACGAAAGCCAGGGUAGCGAACGGG